rnacentral:rRNA from 1 species
AUUGAACGCUGGCGGCAUGCUUUACACAUGCAAGUCGAACGGUAACAGGCCGCAAGGUGCUGACGAGUGGCGAACGGGUGGGUAAUGCAUCGGAACGUGCCCAGCCGUGGGGGAUAACUAAUCGUAAGAGUAGCUAAUACCGCAUACGAUCUAUGGAUGAAAGCGGGGGACCGUAAGGCCUCGCGCGAUUGGAGCGGCCGAUGUCAGAUUAGGUAGUUGGUGGGGUUAAGGCUCACCAAGCCAACGAUCUGUAGCUGGUCUGGGAGGCCGAGCGGCCACACUGGGACUGAGACACGGCCCAGACUCCUACGGGAGGCAGCAGUGGGGAAUUUUGGACAGUGGGCGCAAGCCUGAUCCAGCAAUGCCGCGUGCAGGAAGAAGGCCUUCGGGUUGUAAACUGCUUUUGUACGGAACGAAACGGCUCUGGUUAAUACCCGGGGCUAAUGACGGUACCGUAAGAAUAAGCACCGGCUAACUACGUG